GGAAAGUGAGGAGCGUCUCUGCCCAGCCGCCAUCCCAUCUAGGAAGUGAGGAGCGCCUCUUCCCGGCCGCCAUCACAUCUAGGAAGUGCGGAGCCUCUCUGCCCGGCCACCCAUCGUCUGAGAUGUGGGGAGCGCCUCUGCCCUGUCGCCCCGUCCGGGAUGUGAGGAGCGUCUCUCCCUGGCCGCCCCGUCUGAGAAGUCUAUGUAUUCCUGUGCUUACCUUGUGCGUGCGUGAUGCAUGGAUGUUGCUGCUAGGGGACAUUCAUAUGGACCUAAGUGUCAAGAACACUGGGAGCCAAUAGAUCCAUUUGGACCCAUUUUGGGGACUAAAUGCAGGUUUCAUACCUCAAGCCUCUACAAGAAGAUAAGAAACCCCCACAAAGAAACACUGAGCGCAUGCCCAGCACAUGGCAGAAUUGCAUUUCCUAGCUCCCUGAGAUUAGGUGACUGUGUGGCUUGGUCUCGACAAUGGGAAUGUGAACAGAGAUGGUGUCACUUCUGUGAGAGAAUAUCAGGAGCGAGAGUGAUUUGCUGCAGUAUUUUGACUUCUGUGCUGUCAAUCAAUAACAUCUCAGAUGGAAGUUUCUCCGACACUGGGGUGCUAGAAGGAAAACGACGUGGAGCAGAGAACCAGCCAGUUUGUGAUAAACAUUUACAAUAAGCAGUCUAAUAAACAAACAACAUUUUUAAGUGCUUUUUUCUUUUUCUUUUCUUUUCUUUUUUUUUUUGGGAGGCAGAGUUUCACCCUUGUCGCCCAGGCUGGAGGGCAGAGGCAUGAUCUCGGCUCACUGCAACCUCCACCUCCCGGAUUCAGGCGAUUCUCCUGCCUCGGUCUCCUGAGUAGCUGGGAUUAUAGGCACCUGUCUCCAUGCCUGGCUAAUUUUUUGUAUUUUUACCAGAGACAGGGUUUUGUCGUGAUGGCCAGGCUGGUCUCAAACUCCUAACCUCAGGUGAUCCACCAGCCUUGGCCUCCCAGCAUGUUGGGAUUACAGGCGUGAGCCACUGUGCCCAGCAGCUUUUUUCGUUUAGAUGCCAGGAUUCAGGUAGUUAUUUGUUACCACGGUAUAACCUAGCCCAUCCUAACAAAUAUGGGAGUGGAUCAUUUGUCCUCUUGCCUGGCCCCUGUCACUUCUUCUCUGGGACUAAGAAGGAUUAGGAAAGAGACAUAAAAGUUCAUAUGUACCCCGUAGGGACUGCUCAGAGAUGGGAGCAGAAAGAGGAGAUCUUAGAACCAGACGUGAUGACUGUCAGAGUGAAGUCCCAUGCCCUCACCCCAACCCUUUCCUUCCAUUUAUAUCUUCAUUUUUUUCACACAACAAACACUAAAUAAAAGCCACACACUCUAGACCUGAGUGUUGUAUUCG
rnacentral:lncRNA from 1 species